rnacentral:rRNA from 1 species
AGUACGUGGUCGUAGACCCGAAACCAGGUGAUCUACCCAUGUCCAGGGUGAAGGUGAGGUAACACUUACUGGAGGCCCGAACCCACGCACGUUGAAAAGUGCGGGGAUGAGGUGUGGGUAGCGGAGAAAUUCCAAUCGAACUUGGAGAUAGCUGGUUCUCUCCGAAAUAGCUUUAGGGCUAGCCUCGUGAAUUAGAAUACUGGAGGUAGAGCACUGUUUGGACUAGGGGGGCAUCUCGCUUUACCGAAUUCAGACAAACUCCGAAUGCCAGAUAUUUAUACACGGGAGUCAGACUGCGAGUGAUAAGAUCCGUAGUCAAAAGGGAAACAGCCCAGACCACCAGCUAAGGUCCCAAAGUAAUCGUUAAGUGGAAAAGGAUGUGGCGUUGCUUAGACAACCAGGAUGUUGGCUUAGAAGCAGCCAUCAUUUAAAGAGUGCGUAAUAGCUCACUGGUCGAGUGACGCUGCGCCGAAAAUGUAUCGGGGCUAAACGAUUCACCGAAGCUGUGGAUUGACAUCUAAGAUGUCAGUGGUAGGAGAGCGUUCUAAGUGCGUUGAAGUCAGACCGGAAGGACUGGUGGAGCGCUUAGAAGUGAGAAUGCCGGUAUGAGUAGCGAAAGAUGGGUGAGAAUCCCAUCCACCGUAUGACUAAGGUUUCCUGAGGAAGGCUCGUCCGCUCAGGGUUAGUCGGGACCUAAGUCGAGGCCGAUAGGCGUAGACGAUGGACAACAGGUUGAUAUUCCUGUACCACCUCCCCGCCGUUUGAGCAAUGGGGGGACGCAGUAGGAUAGGAAAAGCGCGUCGUUGGUUGAACGCGCCCAAGCAAUGAGACGUGGAAGUAGGCAAAUCCGCUUCCUAUAACGUCAAGCUGUGAUGGGGAGCUCUUUUAGAGCGAAGUUUCUGAUUUCACACUGCCAAGAAAAGCCUCUAGCGAGGCGGGAGGUGCCCGUACCGCAAACCGACACAGGUAGUCGAGGAGAGAAUCCUAAGGUGUGCGAGAGAACUCUCGUUAAGGAACUCGGCAAAAUGACCCCGUAACUUCGGGAGAAGGGGUGCUCUCGAGAGAGAGCCGCAGUGAAUAGGCCCAGGCGACUGUUUAGCAAAAACACAGGUCUCUGCAAAACCGUAAGGUGAAGUAUAGGGGCUGACGCCUGCCCGGUGCUGGAAGGUUAAGAGGAGGGGUUAGCGCAAGCGAAGCUCUGAAUUGAAGCCCCAGUAAACGGCGGCCGUAACUAUAACGGUCCUAAGGUAGCGAAAUUCCUUGUCGGGUAAGUUCCGACCCGCACGAAAGGCGUAACGAUCUGGGCACUGUCUCAACGAGAGACUCGGUGAAAUUAUAGUACCUGUGAAGAUGCAGGUUACCCGCGACAGGACGGAAAGACCCCGUGGAGCUUUACUGUAGCUUGAUAUUGAAUUUUGGUACAACUUGUACAGGAUAGGUAGGAGCCAGAGAAGUCGGAGCGCCAGCUUCGAUGGAGGCGUCGGUGGGAUACUACCCUGGUUGUACUGAAAUUCUAACCCGUACCCCUUAUCGGGGUAGGAGACAGUGUCAGGUGGACAGUUUGACUGGGGCGGUCGCCUCCUAAAAGGUAACGGAGGCGCCCAAAGGUUCCCUCAGAAUGGUUGGAAAUCAUUCGUAGAGUGUAAAGGCACAAGGGAGCUUGACUGCGAGACCUACAAGUCGAGCAG